GACUCUUUUUAAUGGUUUAAUACCCAUCGGGAUCCUCUGUUUUUCUUGUAAUUAUACACACCUUUAAAAAUGUGGGCUAUGGACUAAUUGCUAGAACUGAAAGCAGAAAGGAGUGUUUUCAGAAUACGUAAAUAAAGCGUCGACGCAACAUCUGUAUUUUGAUCAAUUUAUUGCUGAUAUAUUACAAAUGGAGCGUAGAAAACAUAAAGGGCUUGCUGUUGUUGGGUUUUUAUUCUCUUUAACUGCAUUUGUUGCCCAUGGAGUAGCAUCUUAUUUGCCAUACUGGUAUGGCCAGUCUGAUGGUGAUAAUAGUGUAUAUGGUGGAUUAUGGCAACUUUGUUCCAAAAUUUCAGGAAAAGUAACGUGUUCAGACAUAACUUCUCCAUUUGAAGAUGAUAAGCCAUGGUAUGUGAGAACAUGCCAAGGUCUAGCGAUGGGCGCUUCACUCUUAACAUUUAUCGGCGUAAUACUACUUAUAGUAAAGCUGUGUAAAGGAAAAGAACCUGGCUGCACAAGUGCCUAUCCUGUCUCUCGUGUUUUAUUUUUUAUUGGAGGCCUAAUGAUAUUUGGUGUGACCGGAGUGUGGUCGGCAUAUCAGUAAGAUUUUAUUAAAGAAAACAAGUCGUUUGCUUACUGGAUCGAAUGGAGUGCGGGUGCUCUUUUCAUUGUUUCUGCAAUACUGCUUGCAAUACGAAAGUAUGCUCCUUCAGAUCCUUAUAGGAAUCCAACAGCUCAACCAAAUCCAAAUAUGACACCAACAGCUCAAAUACAUCUAAAUAUGACACCAGCAGCUCAACCAUAUCAAUAUAUGCCGCCAGCAGUUCAGGCAUAUCCUUAUAUUGCGAAUCAGGGUUUCGUGAGAUAUUAAGUUGCUUUAAAUUAAACACCUUUCCGUUAUAUAUUACCAUACUUGAUAACUUUUAACUCUGUUUUGAUUUGUACAAAAUAAUACGUUAUUAAAGAAUAUCUAUAUAAA